rnacentral:rRNA from 1 species
GUGCCAGCCGCCGCGGUAACACGGGGGGAGCAAGCGUUGUUCGGAAUCACUGGGCGUAAAGGGCGUCUAGGCGGUCAGGUAAGUGAGACGUGAAAUGCCUCGGCUCACCCGAGGAGCUGCGUCUCAUACUGCUUGGCUUGAGUAUGGGAGAGGAUGUGGGAAUUCCUGGUGUAGCGGUGAAAUGCGUAGAUAUCAGGAGGAACACCGGUGGCGAAGGCGCACAUCUGGCCCAAUACUGACGCUGAAGCGCGAAAGCUAGGGGAGCAAACGGGAUUAGAUACCCCCGUAGUCC